rnacentral:rRNA from 1 species
GUGGGGAAUAUUGCACAAUGGGGGAAACCCUGAUGCAGCGACGCCGCGUGAGUGAAGAAGUAUUUCGGUACGUAAAGCUCUAUCAGCAAGGAAGAAAAUGACGGUACUUGACUAAGAAGCCCCGGCUAACUACGUGCCAGCAGCCGCGGUAAUACGUAGGGGGCAAGCGUUAUCCGGAUUUACUGGGUGUAAAGGGAGCGUAGACGGUAUGGUAAGUCAGAUGUGAAAGCCCGGGGCUCAACCCCGGGACUGCAUUUGAAACUAUCAGACUAGAGUGCAGGAGAGGUAAGUGGAAUUCCUAGUGUAGCGGUGAAAUGCGUAGAUAUUAGGAGGAACACCAGUGGCGAAGGCGGCUUACUGGACUGUAACUGACGUUGAGGCUCGAAAGCGUGGGGAGCAAACAGGAUUAGAAACCCGUGUAGUCC